rfam:Gorilla gorilla gorilla genomic chromosome, chr2A, whole genome shotgun sequence
GCUGGGCGUGGUGGCUCACGCCUGUAAUCCCAACACUUUGGGAGGCCGAGGUGGGUGGAUCACUUGAGGUCAGGAGUUCGAGACCAGCCUGACCAACAUGGAGAAACCCCAUCUCUA